rnacentral:tRNA from 1 species
AGGGGUUCUCGGUGACGGCCGCGGGGCCACCCCUGCCCAGGCCAGGAUGCGGGCCGUGGCCUUGGCCUGCUGCUCCGGUUCGAGGCCGGCGACCUUGGC